AGUGAACGCUGGCGGUAGGCCUAACACAUGCAAGUCGAACGGCAGCACAGGAGAGCUUGCUCUCUGGGUGGCGAGUGGCGGACGGGUGAGGAAUACAUCGGAAUCUUCUCUGUCGUGGGGGAUAACGUAGGGAAACCUACGCUAAUACCGCAUACGACCUACGGGUGAAAGCAGGGGACCUUCGGGCCUUGCGCGAUUGAAUGAGCCGAUGUCGGAUUAGCUAGUUGGCGGGGUAAAGGCCCACCAAGGCGACGAUCCGUAGCUGGUCUGAGGGGAGGAUCAGCCACACUGGAACUGAGACACGGUCCAGACUCCUACGGGAGGCAGCAGUGGGGAAUAUUGGACAAUGGGCGCAAGCCUGAUCCAGCCAUACCGCGUGAGUGAAGAAGGCCUUCGGGUUGUAAAGCCCUUUUGUUGGGAAAGAAAUCCAGCUGGCUAAUACCCGGUUGGGAUGACGGUACCCAAAGAAUAAGCACCGGCUAACUUCGUGCCAGCCGCCGCAGUAA
rnacentral:rRNA from 1 species